GGGAAAUGCUGAAACCCAGUGAAAAAUGCUAAUUGACACCAUUUGUUGUGUUGGAAGAUAGAUAGAUAGAUAGAUAGAUAGAUAGAUAGAUGAUAGAUAAUUGUGUGUGUGUGUGUGUGUGUGUGUGUGUGUAGCCUGAUGUCCUG